GUGGGUGAUCUGCCCUGCACUUCGGGAUAAGCCUGGGAACACUGGGUCUAAUCACCGGCAUAGGCAGCCCAUUUUUAGUGUGAUGGUUGGAAAGUUUUUCGGUGUAGGAUGAGCUCGCGGCCUGAUCAGCUUGUUGGUGGGGUAAUGGCCUACCAAGGCGGCGACGGGUAGCCGGCCUGAGAGGGUGGACGGCCACAUUGGGACUGAGAUACGGCCCAGACUCCUACGGGAGGCAGCAGUGGGGAAUAUUGCACAAUGGGCGCAAGCCUGAUGCAGCGACGCCGCGUGGGGGAUGACGGCCUUCGGGUUGUAAACUCCUUUCGCUAGGGACGAAGCUUUUUGUGACGGUACCUAGAUAAGAAGCACCGGCUAACUACGUGCCAGCAGCCGCGGUAAUACGUAGGGUGCGAGCGUUGUCCGGAAUUACUGGGCGUAAAGGGCUCGUAGGUGGUUUGUCGCGUCGUCUGUGAAAUUCCGGGGCUUAACUCCGGGCGUGCAGGCGAUACGGGCAUAACUUGAGUACUGUAGGGGUAACUGGAAUUCCUGGUGUAGCGGUGAAAUGCGCAGAUAUCAGGAUGGAACACCGAUGUGCGAAGGCAGGUUACUGGGCAGUUACUGACGCUGAGGAGCGAAAGCAUGGGUAGCGAACAGGAUUAGAUACCCUUGGUAGUCCAUGCCNGUAAACGGUGGGCGCUAGGUGUGAGGGUCUUUUCACGACGUUUCGUGCCGUAGCUUACGCAUUAAGCGUCCC
rnacentral:rRNA from 1 species